GAUGAACGCUAGCGGCGUGCCUAACACAUGCAAGUCGAACGGGGUACCCGAAACGGAGACUUCGGUCAAAAUUUUGGACUACCUAGUGGCGGACGGGUGAGUAACGCGUGAGCAAUCUGCCUUACAGAGGGGGACAACAGUUGGAAACGACUGCUAAUACCGCAUAAUGUCUAACCGAGGCAUCUCGGAUAGACCAAAAGGAGCAAUCCGCUGUAAGAUGGACUCGCGUCCAAUUAGAUAGUUGGUGGGGUAACGGCCCACCAAGUCGACGAUUGGUAGCCGGACUGAGAGGUUGAACGGCCACAUUGGGACUGAGACACGGCCCAGACU
rnacentral:rRNA from 1 species